rnacentral:sRNA from 1 species
CUUUGAGAUCAAUUAUGUAAGAAAGGAACACCACCUGGUCCCUGGCUUGUCCCUCACGGUCACCGUUAAGUUUUCUCCAGAUGAGUGGCGAUACUAUUAUGACUGCAUCCGUAUUCACUGUAAGCAAAACUUAUGUUAUUCCUUUGCAGUGCAGCUGCCCUGUAGAUUUUGAGUUCUAUAUCACUUUGAUUCAGUCUCAUCAAGCCUUUGCUAUUGAGCCAACAUCAGGAAUAAUUCCAGCUAAUGGGAAGAUGGCUGUGACUAUUAAGUUUACACCCUUUCAGUAUGGGACUGCACAAAUAAAAAUGCAGUUAUGGAUUUCACAGUUCAACUCUCAACCAUACGAAUGUGUCUUCACUGGAACAUGCUAUCCCAACAUGGCCUUACCGUAUGGCGUCUUUUCAGUGUUUUUGUUUAUUCUUAACCAUUUUUCGAAAAUCCAAGUCUUCCUUUCUUCCAUUCUGUCUUUCUUGUAAAAGAAUGUCAUCAAAAACUUAUUUAAAAUGAUGAGCCAACAUAAAAUAUACUUUAAAACUUAACAGAAAUAUAGAACAUAUCUAUGCUAGUAGCAGGAGUUGCUUCUGACAAG